rnacentral:rRNA from 1 species
UUUGGACCUGAUAUCAGACAAGAUUACCCGCUGAAUUUAAGCAUAUAACUAAGCGGAGGAAAAGAAACUAACAAGGAUUCCCCUAGUAACGGCGAGUGAAGCGGGAAGAGCUCAAGCUUAAAAUCUCUAUGUCAGUUUGGCAUGGCGAAUUGUAGUCUAUAGAGGCUGUUGUCGCGCAGGCGAUCCGGGACAAGUCCCUUGGAAGAGGGCAGCAUAGAGGGUGAUACUCCCGUCUCUGCUCGGAUCUGCUAGUGCAAGAACACGUUUUCUUUGAGUCGAGUUGCUUGGGAAUGCAGCUCAAAGUAGGUGGUAAAUUCCAUCUAAAGCUAAAUAUAGGUGCGAGACCGAUAGCGAACAAGUACCGUGAGGGAAAGAUGAAAAGAACUUUGAAAAGAGAGUUAAAGAGUACCUGAAACUGUUGAAAGGGAAUCGGAUCGUUUCCAGUGUCUGUAUCCUUUGCAUAUUUCAUUGGCGGACGGUGGUGUGUAGUUUGUUGGCAAGUCGUUUAUUCGUCUGCUGGCUAGUUAUGCUGCUAUUGUUUGCUGGUGCCCUGUGCGUUGGUGUGACGUCAGAGUCAGUUUAUAAGUUGCGGGAGAUGGUUGUCAAGGAGGUAUUUCAGGCACUUGUGUUUGAUUGUUAUAUCUUGGCAUACUAGUAGCCGUGGCUAAGACUGAGGUGCCUACAACAUGCCUUGGGGGUCUACGGUCGUCUCGUGUGAGUGAUUGCUUGGAUAGCUUGCUAUGUUUGCAGUUGAUUUGUGCGAUUGAUGAUAGUAGCAACCUCUUGCUGUUCGGGACUUUGGCGAAAUGGAGCGAUCCGUCCCGUCUUGAAACACGGACCAAGGAGUCUAACAUGUGUGCAAGUGUUAGGGUGUGGAAACCCAAACGCGUAAUGAAAGUAAAUGGUACCUUAAGGUACCUGUGGUAGGAAAGCUUCUCCUUGUGGGAGGCUGGCACUAUCGACCGAUCAUGAACCCACGUGGUGAAAGAUUUGAGUAUGAGCAUAUAUGUUGGUACCCGAAAGAUGGUGAACUAUGCCUGAAUAGGGUGAAGCCAGGGGAAACUCUGGUGGAAGCUCGUAGCGAUUCUGACGUGCAAAUCGAUCGUCAAAUUUGGGUAUAGGGGCGAAAGACUAAUCGAACCAUCUAGUAGCUGGUUCCCUCCGAAAUUUCCCUCAGGAUAGCAGCAACUUUUUACGAUAGUUUUAUGAGGUAAAGCGAAUGAUUAGAGGCCUCGGGGAAGAAACUUCCUCGACCUAUUCUCAAACUUUAAAUGGGUAAGACCUGUGGGUUUCUUAAUUGAACCUGUGGACGUGAAUAUCCAAGUUGCUAGUGGGCCAUACGGGGUAAGCUCGUCUGGCGAUGCGGGAUGAACCGAACGCAAAGUUAAAGUGCCAAAGUGCCCGCUCACCUAGAUACCAUAAAAGGUGUUGGU